rnacentral:pre_miRNA from 13 species
GCUUCUCUUGCCCAACAAUAUCCUGGUGCUGAGUGAGUUACAGACAGAGACUCCAGCAUCAGUGAUUUUGUUGAGGAGGGGG